AUGCACACCUUCACCCUUUUAGCGCAUGGUCGGGUUAUCGACGUCGAAUUUUCCACGGUUGUAAAACUCUUAGAGGAAGAGGGCCUUCUAGUCAGGGACACUGAGGUAAAGAUCGCUGAAGUCCUCGACUUGCUGAAGUCCAUUCCUGAGCAUAAACUUGUAGAGUGUAUCGAGAACAGAAAACCCGGUUUUUUUGAUCGCUCGACCCCUUGCCGGUUGAAUAUCCUUAGCGGACGGUAUAAAAGCGUGGAAGAUUACGACCGUGACACCCGUGCCAAAAAUCCUUCCCUAAUCGACAUUGUUUACAGUGACGACGGUCACAUCACCAAUUUACACGCGUUACAGAGCCCUCAGCUUGAGAUUGAAUUAGCCAAGCGAGGUUACGUAUAUACAUACACGCAGUUAGCCCUCGCACGUGCAGCACUUUCGCGGAUAAUUGAGAGUGGAUGUGCCACCCCCUCCCCUCAGUCACAUUGCAUUAGGACUCGCGCCGACGUCCGGCGAGAAAGGUGGUCUACCGACCCAGGGGCAACCCCAAGUCCUCAGGCAGGUAUUUUUGUCCCGUAUCACGAAUAUAUACAGUCCCAUCCUACCGAACUAAAUCAGACUUCGGGUGAAACCGCUGGCCCAAGUGAUGCGGCGUCCUUGAGACAAAACUCUGGCCAGCUGCUUGACUCGGGAAUUGGCACUUCUCCUCGCGACAGCGCCGCGUGGGUUCUAUUCCGCGAAUCUCUAGGUCGGAUUUCCUCAGAAACAGAUACCUCGCCCCCAGGUUCCGUUCAUUCGGAGGAUUCGGAGGAUCCAGCUGCUGACAAUCUAGCCAUGGCGGAGCUACUACCUAACAAUUUGUGCAAACUACCCAUAGUCCCAUUCUCAGGGAAGACCCAAGAUGACCUUGAAGAUUUUGUGGAUUCAAUAGAUCGGCUGCGACGCACCUACAACUGGAACGACGCAAGCGUUCGAAAGGUUUUUGAGUACUUCCUCAGAAAAACUGCUAGGCUAUGGUUUGACAACAAUUUCGAGGCCUUAAAUGCGCUGCCAUGGGCGGACCUGAAAGUUUCCUUCAAAACCCGUUUCAACCCCACCAUGGCGCGUACUACUCGGCGAUCCUUCCAAACACGGGCCCAGAAAUCACAUGAGCGGCCCUUGGACUACCUGGAUGUGAUGCUUCGUUACAGGAGAAAUCUGAAGGAUCCAGUCUCGGACGAAACGUUCAUCGAUCAGGUUAUGCUGGGGCUGAAGCCGAAAGUCAGAAAACUUGCGAGAGAACAGCGGAUCACUACCGUUCCUGAACUCAAGGAAAAUAUCACCUUCGCUCAGGAAUGCCUAGACUCUGACAGUGACGAUAGCUCUGACGAGGACUCAUCGGCUCGAAAGGGAGCAAAAUCAAAGAAGCGAGCCCUCGCAGCUAGAGUGGAGCUUGUUGAAUCCUUCAUAAGGUCCAAAUUCCCCGAUGGAUCUGCAGCAGUGCGGGAUCAAAUACCUGAGAGCCCUGAUCCAACAGUAGCCAAAUUGGACAAACUAAUCGCCGUCAUCAGCCAGAAUUUCAGCCUACCAUCCUCUCAGCAACCACCGCUCGAGCCAAAACUCGCCGCGCCCAGCCCCGCAGAAGAAAAGUUGGACGCAUUAAUCGCGGUCAUCGGGAAGGCUUUUCCGGGCCGUGAUGACAGGACUUCAGCGUCGAAAAUCGCAACCACCUCGCGUGAAGCCGCCUGUUACCGGUGCAACUCGCCCUUUCAUUUUGUCCGCGAGUGCCCUGAGCCACCCCCGAAACCGAACGACCGUGAGAACCCAAGGGUGACCCAACCGCGCCCCUAUGACCCUCACAGCCGGUCAAACUCUAUGGACCGCACGAAAGCAGGUAAACCUAUUUGUCAACUGUGCGGGGCCCCUAAUCACCAAGCCUUAUCGUGCCCAAAAUUAAGUGUGGCUGCGGCCCUGCAGACGGAAAAAAACGCGUAA
rnacentral:lncRNA from 1 species